rnacentral:rRNA from 1 species
UUCCGGUUGAUCCUGCCGGACCUUACUGCUAUCGGGGUGGGACUAAGACAUGCGAGUCGAGCGUCUCUAGCUAUGUUGAGACGCGGCAGACGGCUCAGUAACACGUGGCUAACCUACCCUCAGGACGAGGAUAAACCCGGGAAACUGGGGCUAAUACUCGAUAUGUGAGAAUGUCUGGAAUGAUUUCUCACUCAAAGGGCCUUGGGAACAUGCUUCCAAUGUCGCCUGGGGAUGGGGCCGCGUCCGAUCAGGUUGUUGGUGAGGUAAUGGCUCACCAAGCCUAUAACCGGUACGGGCCGUGAGAGCGGUAGCCCGGAGAUGGGUACUGAGACAAGGACCCAGGCCCUACGGGGCGCAGCAGUCGCGAAAACUCCGCAAUGCACGAAAGUGUGACGGGGCUACCCCGAGUGCCAUCCGCUGAGGAUGGCUUUUCCUUGGUAUAACUAGCCGAGGGAAUAAGGAGAGGGCAAGACUGGUGUCAGCCGCCGCGGUAAUACCAGCUCUCCGAGUGGUAGGGAUGAUUAUUGGGCUUAAAGCGUCCGUAGCCGGCUUAGCAAGUCUCCUGUUAAAUUCAGCGACCUAAUCGUUGAGCCGCGGGAGAUACUACUAUGCUAGGAGGCGGGAGAGGUCGACGGUACUUCUGGGGUAGGGGUGAAAUCCUAUAAUCCCAGGAGGACCACCAGUGGCGAAGGCUGUCGACUAGAACGCGCUCGACGGUGAGGGACGAAAGCUGGGGGAGCGAACCGGAUUAGAUACCCGGGUAGUCCCAGCCGUAAACGAUGCGGGCUAGGUGUUGGAAUGGCUACGUGCCAUUUCAGUGCCGCAGGGAAGCCAUUAAGCCCGCCGCCUGGGGAGUACGGCCGCAAGGCUGAAACUUAAAGGAAUUGGCGGGGGAGCACCCACAGGCGUGAAGCUUGCGGUUCAAUUGGAUUCAACGCCGGA